rnacentral:rRNA from 1 species
UAACUUUCGAUGGUAGGAUAGAGGCCUACCAUGGUGGUAACGGGUAACGGGGUGUUAGGGCACGACACCGGAGAGGGAGCCUGAGAAACGGCUACCACAUCCAAGGAUGGCAGCAGGCGCGCAAAUUACCCAAUCCCGACACGGGGAGGUAGUGACAAUAAAUAACAAUACGGGGUUCUUUAGGAUCUCGUAAUUGGAAUGAGUACAAUUUAAAUCUCUUAACGAGGAACAAUUGGAGGGCAAGUCUGGUGCCAGCAGCCGCGGUAAUUCCAGCUCCAAUAGCGUAUAUUAAAGUUGUUGCAGUUAAAAAGCUCGUAGUUGAAUUUCGGGAUCAAUUUAUUGGUCGUGCUAUUGUACGUACUGGUAUUAUUGAUUCCUACCUUCUGACGAACCAUGAUGUCAUUAAUUUGGUGUCUUGGGGAAUCAGGACCGUUACUUUGAAAAAAUUAGAGUGUUUAAAGCAGGCUCACGCUUGAAUACAUUAGCAUGGAAUAACGAAAUAGGACGUUUGAUUCUAUUUUGUUGGUUUCUAGGAUCGACGUAAUGAUUAAUAGGGAUAGUUGGGGGCAUUAGUAUUCAAUUGUCAGAGGUGAAAUUCUUGGAUUUAUUGAAGACUAACUACUGCGAAAGCAUUUGCCAAGGAUGUUUUCAUUAAUCAAGAACGAAAGUUAGGGGAUCGAAGACGAUCAGAUACCGUCGUAGUCUUAACCAUAAACUAUGCCGACUAGGGAUCGGAUGAUGUUAAUUUUUUAAUGACUCAUUCGGCGCCUUACGGGAAACCAAAGUGUUUGGA